AUGUUUUUCUGUCUUCUUUUGUGGAUUCCAACUGAAUUGUCAUCUUUCCCGCCUUCCGCGCGGUUUCUUGGCUCAAGAUAUUAUGAUUCCCCUAGUAGUCUGACUGCUCUUUCUCUCAAGCGAAGUGCUUCUCGGGACAAAGGGCAAAAGGGAAGAGAGAAGACUAUAAACAAUAAAUCUAGGAGGUUUGAAGAUGCUCGAGCAAAGCGAAGAGGUAUAACUCCUCUGUUAUCUCCUUGUUCUAACCCUGUUGCUUCCUUUGCUUCGCCUGGAACUACCUUGCUAACACCUUCUUACAGUCUUGCUGAGCUUAGGAAGUGA
rnacentral:lncRNA from 1 species